rnacentral:rRNA from 1 species
GUGGGGAAUAUUGGACAAUGGGCGAAAGCCUGAUCCAGCCAUGCCGCGUGUGUGAAGAAGGUCUUCGGAUUGUAAAGCACUUUAAGUUGGGAGGAAGGGCAGUAAGUUAAUACCUUGCUGUUUUGACGUUACCGACAGAAUAAGCACCGGCUAACUUCGUGCCAGCAGCCGCGGUAAUACGAAGGGUGCAAGCGUUAAUCGGAAUUACUGGGCGUAAAGCGCGCGUAGGUGGUUUUGUAAGUUGGAGGUGAAAUCCCCGGGCUCAACCUGGGAACUGCCUCCAAAACUGCAUGACUAGAGUACGGUAGAGGGUAGUGGAAUUUCCUGUGUAGCGGUGAAAUGCGUAGAUAUAGGAAGGAACACCAGUGGCGAAGGCGACUACCUGGACUGAUACUGACACUGAGGUGCGAAAGCGUGGGGAGCAAACAGGAUUAGAAAACCGAGUAGUCC